UACGUAGGGUGCAAGCGUUGUCCGGAAUUAUGGGGCGUAAAGAGCUCGUAGGCGGUUUGUCGCGUCGAAUGUGAAAACCCGGGGCUCAACCCCGGGCCUGCAUUCGAUACGGGCAGACUAGAGUUCGGUAGGGGAGUCUGGAAUUCCUGGUGUAGCGGUGAAAUGCGCAGAUAUCAGGAGGAACACCGGUGGCGAAGGCGGGACUCUGGGCCGAUACUGACGCUGAGGAGCGAAAGCGUGGGGAGCAAACAGG
rnacentral:rRNA from 1 species